UUUACCAAAACAGUAAAACGUGUUUUUCACAAUACUCUUGUAGUUAAUAAGCUGUGAUGCCUUGCUUCCCUUUUCUCCUACUUCAUCUUCACAGCUUGAGGCCAAGCAAAGAAACAAGUCCAAGGCUUCCUCUCUGCUCCCCCUCCUUUUCUGGUUCAAGUUGUGAGUGGUUUCAUGCGGACUCUUGUUUUUCAUAGACACUGUUGGUUCCACCAUCUAACGAGUCUAAUCCUAAUAGCAGUUAUUGGCUUUGACUUAUUCCCUAUCUCCUUUGUAACAGCUGCUGGCAAAGCUGCUGCUCUCCUGAUGAAUUUUGUUGUCUAAUUUUUGAUAGUACACUUACAGCUGUUAAAACUCUUCCAUCUCUGCAUUUAAUACUUCUCUUCCCCCAGCUCUCAUUUCAGUUAAGUGUUAAGCAUCACUCACAAAGUUGCAAAUAAUCACUUGUAGUUUGCAGCAUUAGGAGGAAGAAAAAUCAGAGGAGAUAAUGGAUGAAAAGGUAAGUACUGAACAUCAGCAUCUUUGGUGGUUGUGUACUGAUAAAGGAUAAAAUAACUGCUGUUUCCUAUCCUCCUCCUUUCUUUUCUCAACAAAGGGGCAGGUAUAUAAUGGUUAAUGUCUCUCCAGCAUCAGUAGAUGUGGGCUCACAGAUUUCUGUAUUUGUGCUGUUAUUUACAAAUAAAAGGUUUCCAGGUUUUAUUCUUGGCCCUUGCUGUAUUGUGUGUAAAUGUAUCUUCUCCUGUCAUUUAGCAGUGCUUUAGAAAACAGCUGGUGCCCCCAGGGUAAACCUUUAAACAAUGUCCUACUCUGACAAAAUUCUGCUUCAUCAGCAAACCAUGUCGUGCAUAUUUCUCUCAUUGUUUUGCAAAUUGCUGUUACAAAGAGCUUUUGCAUUUAAACAGGCUCUCUCUGACCUAAGAGAUAGUAAAAAUUACAUUAGAGAUGCCACAGUAACUUGUCACUGUGACCUGCCCUAAAUAGCUGGACUUAUUUCACUUGGAUAAAUCAUUUAUUUAUAAUGACCUAUUGUGUCAUCAGAAUUCUGCAGCAGAGACGCUUCAGCUCCAACUUACAUGAAUAUUCUUUUGAAGGGCUAAUCAGAAGAGAUAUACCAUCAGGAUUAUGUGCUUUAAAAAUGCAGUUUUAGACAGCACUGGCCAAACUGGGAAGUAAUGAUUAAUCUGUUCUGAUUACUGUGAUCAUAUAGAUCCUCUCUGCUCACCCCUUCUCCAUGAUCUCAGUUAGAAAGAGCUCUAAUUUUCAGCUCCUUUUUUCCCUAGAGCUGCAUUUCCAUUACCAAAUUUGCAAUUAGAGCCCAGUGCUUCCAGACUUGCUUUGAUAACUUGAGACAACAGCAUGGUGCAAAAUUUUAUCUCUCCCUCUCCCUUUUAACAGACUUUAGUGGCUCUUUGUCUGUCAGGAGCAUCUCUGUCUGCUUUGGAUAUGUAAUGGAGCUUCCUGAACCUCACAUCUCCCUUUGUGCAAUUCUGCUAAUGAAAAGCCAGCCACAGAAGAUACUUUGUCCUUGUAAAUCCAUGGCACAGGGAGGAUAUUCCUGUAUUGCUUCCUGCCUGCUGUCACUGAGGCCACUGUUCUGGCACAGAGCGAGCCAUGAACAGCUGCAGAAAUCCAGGGAUGGCCCUGGUAUCGCUUCCUGGAGGGAUGAAUGUGGCAAUAAGUGUCAGGAAAAGGAAAUUGCCGGUCGUGUUCUUGUCCUGGCCACAUGCUUGUGGGAAAGGGUUGGCAGGUGGCUCCUGCUCCUUCCAUGGAGGAUGGGAGUAGCUUUUUUCAUUUUAUCUGCUAAAUGUCUGCCUAAACAAAACUACCACAAAAUAUUAUCACACAUGAUUAUUGAUCUCAACCCCAGCUCAGGUCUGGUCUUUAUGUCACACCACUCCUUCUGCUACUUUUGAAGAUUUUCUCCAGAAAUUGAAUGGAGAAACCAUUUCUGCUCCUCUUGUGAGGAAGCAAAGACAGUGCCCCACAAACCAGGACAUUGGGAAAUGAUCAUCCUCCCUGGCUCUGACCAUGCCCUGUGUGCAUUGUGCACCUAAACACUUCUGAAAAUGUUCAUAUAAUGUAGAGAAAUCGUAAAUGCAAGGGAAUAUUGACCUGAGAGGUGGUGUGUAAAUGUGUGAACAUUUUAUUGUGUGGGGCACUGACUUUGGUAAUUUCUGUGGGCAAAAUGGUCUUCAAAGAGCAGUGAAAAGCCAGCAGUUAUUGCAGGCAUGGUGGACAGGAUGAAGGUGAUUGUCCAUCACCAGCUGCUCUGGGUGGGGAGCUGGGCCAGGAGGGACAGCACGUGCAAGGUGCCUGUGGGUCCCUGCAAAGAUUGCUUUUAAAAGCUCUGUCUUCACACCUUUACAGCCCAAGUAAAGUGGAGAAAUAAAUCACUGUGCACAGUUGUCAUUUUCCCCUCUAAGCACCAGCCAAAGUGUUUAAAUAUAGCUAAACCACUGCAUUUCCUCAGAAUAAACACUCAGAUACUCAAAAUAAAUUGCUAGGUCCUGGUAUCAAAGGAAUGAUUUAUAACCCAAUUAUACUGGGAAUUUUAUUCUCUAUUGUUUCACUGAUAGGUUAUGGGUCAAUUAGGUGUUUUACUCCUGCAGAAACACAUCCUCAUUGCACCAUGAAGUGUCUGAAUUUGGCACACUGGGAUUUGCCCUGUCCAUCUUGUAAACCUCAUCCAGUUUGUGGAAAAACUUUGAGAAUCAUUGUGCCAAGGGCCAGGUCUGUAAUUUUUGCAGCAUUUUGUCUGUGUUUACUGCCCAGGCAUUGGCAGGAAUGUAGAGAGUUCCUUUCUGGUGAAUAAUCUUCCCCAUCUUCUGUUUUCUCCUCAGACUCACAGUGUACAGAAGAUGUUCGUGGUGCAGCUCAGUCUGUAAGGUCUCUGGGGAAUGGAUAUUUUUGAGCCUUCAGAGGAGGCAGACAGCAUCAGUAAUGGUCUUCAGCAGGGGCCAGCAGACACCUGGUGAAGAAUAAGAAUAGAAGAGACUUGUUUAAUCUUCCUCCAUAACAUUUUUACUCUCCAAGUGCAGUCAGCUCAAGAUUUCCUAAGAUUAAUGUGAUUCUCAGUAAGGUGCCCUGGGUUCCUCUUGUAGCUGCUUGUCCAUUCUGCCCUUGAACAUCCACAAUUGUAGAACCACUGAAAAGGCACAUUGCUUUUAGAACAAAACCUAUUAUCCUCUACAAUGGUACAAACCCACACUUACUCUUAAGACUUUAGUUGAGUAAUUUUUAUCAGUGAAAUCUGAAAAAGGGAGGGGAUUUGACCAAAUUAAUGGAUGUAAAAGAGGAGGUUCAGGGGAAAAAUGUUUUAUGAUUAUGCCUCAAAUCUUGAAUUAUUUUAGCAAUGCAAAUUCAAUGGUGCAUUUUAAUUCCCUUGUUAAUAUGGACUUUUCCAGGUCUGCAUGUUAUCAAUGUCAGUGUAAAUCAGAAAGGGAAUCCAGCCCAAGGGUUUUGUGCAUCCUCUGUUUGCUCCUCCUCCUUUCUCUUUUUACAAAUUAGAGUGACAAUGCAAUAAUCUUGAAUAACAUUAUACUUUUCUAUUCCUAGAAACUACAGUCAUGUUCUCUAGACACAGGGAUAUCGAAACUAAAAGAGAAAUAAAAUCCAACCCCGGUCACAUUUCCACAGUGGCACCCCAGGCAGAUGAUGGUUUUGGUAUUCUCAUGCCUACACUUUUCAUUUCCUGGAUGUGGCUCUUGGCAUCCUGGAGUUGUUUGCAGUAAAUGGUGUUCACUGAGCAAGCCUGUCCCUCAAAAUGCCUGACUCUCCUGGUUGCUCCUCUCCCCACAUCUCGAUUAUCUAACACAUUAAUACAACAAGCACUGCAAUAAUUAGGGCACCAUAUGGCACGCACUGUUACAGAGCAAUUCUAGCAUUGGUGGGUUGGGUGAGUAGUCAGAAAGAAUAAAAUAAGCAAGGCUGCUGGUGUGAGCAGAAGACUAAGUCAGUGCACUCACAUGGCAGAGAAGAAUGAGUAAGUUAGGUGUGUGUACAAGCUGGACUUGGGGAAUUUUUUGGUUUUGUUCUCAUCCCCGAUGAAAAGGCACCCUGGGUUAGAGGGGUGCACUGAACUGCUGCAGAGAGAUAAGUGCCCUUCAUGGCACAUCUCCCUGAGGAUGAUCUUUAUUAUACUUGGCUUCCCUCAGGUCGGUGAGCUCUCUAAUAUUUCCCUGCCUGGGAUUGUAUUGCUAUUUAUCAGUUAUAAUGGGUAUUUAGUGUUUUCAAUUAUUUGCCACUUCACUGAGAGCACAACAGUCAUUGCAGCCAUUGUGGGAUUCUUAGUUAAUCCUCUAAAUAAUAAAAGGAAUCAGGGAGCAUGUAUAAGCUGUGAGAUUUUCCUGGCCUGGCUGUCAGCUGGGAAUGUGAGCAAAUCAUGCCCAUGAGCCAUCACAGCCACGCUAACAAAAGCUUUGGGGCACAUGCAGAAAUACAGAUUGUGGAGUAUUCUUGGGUUGUAUCUCUGGAGAAAUGUUAUAGCUGGGCUUGAAGAAGUCUUGUGGUGAUGUAAAAUGCAUGUCCUUUAUGGAUGGUUGCUCAUAUGAGCAGAGUGUCAAGAGUUUUGGUGUAAAAAUCCCAUUCAGUAUUUUCUCCGUGCUAAAACAUCUUCUUCCAACUGAAACACUUUGGCUGCUUGGAUGAAGACUGUCUUUCAAACUGAAUCACUGUUUUGAUAUUUGCACUAAACGUUUUCUAACAACGUGGAAUAGACAUGAUGGAUGCCACAGAAGGAAGGACAGUCCCAGGGAAGGUUAGUGGGUGACCUCCCAGGAUGUCACCUUCUCCUCAAGAAGCCCCAGGACAUCCUUUCCUUUGUUUCUACAGAGCAGAUGCAAAGCAACCAACCCCUUUUUUUCCUGAGGACAAAUCACUUCCAAGUACAUCUGGAUGAGCAUGAAGAAUGAGAAUAUGAAUACAGACAAUUAUGAUGGAGUAGGGGCCCUGUAAAUUUAUACCCAAACUUACCCCCUGGUAACUCAUUCAUCUGUCUGUCUUGACAGAAUGCAUGAGAAAUAGUGGGACAAUAAAGGCUUUUGUUAUGCUGAAAGAUGUUAAUAGCUGGCCCCAGGCUGAGCAGGGUUUCCAAGACAAUCACAGAUAACACAGCAAAACUCAGUAGAAUGAACACUGAGGCCUUUAUUUUGUAAUGUAGAGAGACUGGGGCUAUGUCAGGGUGGGGGUUGUCUAAAAGUACAGGUUUUACAGGAUCCCAUUUUUAUGGAAAAGUACUUUCUGGGACGGCAGGGUAGCUGAACUGCUCAUUACAAAUAUGGAAACAUCCAGAAGAACAUCAUUAUAGACUGCUGUACCACGAGGGUGAGGGUCUCAGGAGGUGUCAGGGGCACUGGGAAUGUCCUUGUGCCCCUCCAGCCUCUGCCGGUUCCAGCACAAAAGGAGAUGCUCAGCAAAGAAAUUCCGAAGGAAACAGUCUUGGGAUGGUUUCAGAUGCUUCAGAAAAAUUUCUUAUCAUUCAGUCUUUCAGGAAGGGAGGUAAUAAUGCAGAUCUGUCCUCACCACUGGUACAGUGAAGCCCCUUCUCAUCUCCUUUCUCUUUUCACUGUUGUCUCUCCACAAGCUGCUGUCCCUCGGGGAAGACACCAUCAUAACCACAGCCAGUGCAAGGGAUGAGGAUAUUUUUAUAGUUCAUGAGUCUAAAUCUGCACUGGCUUGGUUCUGUCUGAAAAUAGUGUCCUUUCCAAGGUGAGGAUUUUGUGAAAAGACUCAGGAAUAAACAGCUGGAAUGGGUCCCCUCCUGUGUAUUUAGGCAAACAUACACAGGUGUUUUGGGUGGAUUCCCCUGGCCUGAAAGUUGGCUUCUGGUCUGAAAAAUGUUUAGGUUUGCUCUGUAGUUGGUAGGACUAAAAUGAGAUUUUCAGAAAUUAUCCCACUUCUCUUGGACAGUCAUCUUAGGAUGAGACAAAUGGGAGGUGUCUCUCUGCAGUGACUGCAAUGGAAACCAAGAAAUCCUGCAGGUCAGCUGCCCACGCUCAGCUAGAAGGAACCAACACAGAGAUCAGCAGCACUGGCAGGUUUGCUCCAUGCACCCUUGUAUACUUUAUAAAAAAAACCUUUCCAGAGCCUUCACCACAGCUGCAAAGCACAAACCUCACAGCUGUUCUCUGCCAGAGGAAGAAAGCAAGAAUAUCCUAAGGGAAAAUGCACAGAGGAUCCUAGGAAGUAUUUACUUUUACCUCAGUUUGGACAUGUGACUGGUAACAAAAUUACAGGUGAGCAAACAAAAAACCCGAAUUUUUUAAGGCAGUGCCAGUUAUUGUAGAUGAGAGCCAUUGAUGUGAUGGGACAAACUAGAACUUUGAUGGGAUGAACACACUCCAGAAAUGCCACCCCAAAAGUUAAACUAGUAACUAACAAAAGUGAAACAGAGCACAUUUUGCUCUUGGCAGCCAUGAUAUAAGUAAAGCCAUUUAUUUAGUUUAGCUUUCAUCUUCUUCUUGCUCCUCUGUCCUCAAAAGAGAUAGUUUGGAUCAAGUCACUGAAGUCCACACUGAAACACAUUGUACCCUGGUGAUUGAUACCUACAAAAACUCAGAGUGACAAGGUAAUAAAAGUGUAAAGGUUUGGGUUCCAUCAGGGAAAUCCAGUUGCACUCACUUUGCUGUCAGAAUAAUGGGGUGUCUAUUUUGUGGUCAUAGAGUUAAUGCAUUUGAUGCAGGUAGAAUGAUUUGCAAAUCAUAGGGACCUCUUUGGAAGGAAACAUUAAGUAAAACUUUUUAAAAAAUCACUCUUUCUUAUAGAUAUGCACAUGGCACACUGUUAUAGACUAAGUGUCUGUAAAAUGUUGAUGCUCUGUAACCCCAAAUUAUGUCUGAGAGAAAACAAACCCCUCCAUGGCUCCUGGUGAGCUGUGGGACUAGGCUGGUGCUGCUUUGGAAGAGGAUGGCUUCACAUUUUUGAACAAAGAACUGGUGAAGCUGGAUAAACACAAAUGUACUGAGGGCUGAUGUUUCAGAUCAGGGGGAGGAUUUCAGGAAAUUCACUGAAUGUUCCUUGUGCUUCAGUUCACCCAGAGAGACAAUUUGAGCAAGAAGGAGCAGUCACACUGAGAAGCAGAUGCCAGCUUUUGGAGCAGGGCAGGCAAAGGACAGAGGAGGAUGCAAGGCAGAGAACAUGGGUGAUGAAGAGCUGAUUUCAGGAUGGAUCUUUGUGGUAUCUGCUGAAGUCCAUAAGCUUUGACCCCAACCUUCUGAAGAAAGAAUCAGACCUGGAGAAAAGUUCCUGCACUUCAAAUAAACCAGGUGGCAACUUGUGGAAGAAGAAUGUUGGAACUCACACCUGGACUUCCAGCCUCAAUGUCCAUCAGGCCCUGAUACCAAACUGCUCCAGGAAGAUGUGCAAUAACUGCAGUGCCAUAUGCCAGAGGUCAAUGGACAAAACUCCCUGCAAGGGCCUGAGCAGGCUCCCAGCUUGCCUGACACCCAUGAAUCCAAAUGGAAAAGAGAGUGUGGCAAGUGACACUUAAUCUCAAUGUGAGCAAAGGCUGUCCUUGUACCCAGAGAAACAACUGACAGCUAAUUCAGGACUGAGAUCUCCAGGGAUCUCUGCAGGAGCAAAGUCUCCUCUGUGGAAGAUUAAAACUUGGUGCAAACUCCAAGGUCACCUCUGUAAAAGCAGUGGGAAGGGAACAGGAUAAGCCUUGGCAUCACCUGAGCUCGCUGGCAUCCAGCUGCUGAGCAGUGUUGAGUUUAUUGUGCUGGAGAUUCCACAAAGAGUUUUCAUCCAUCAGGAGCUCUGGGUUCUGCAGAGUCUGAUGGAUAUCCUUAAAAAUUUUGGAGUGGCAGUUUGGAGGGUAGCUGGCAAAACAUGAGCCAGCAAAACAUUGUAGGAAGAUGAAUUCACAAGCAGAAAUUUUUAGAGAUGGUAUUUGAGAACAAAAGAGUGAUUCCACCAACCUGCACUAUUCAUUUAUUUAAAUUUACUCUAUAAAGUGGACAGCAAAGGAAAGUCAAAACUUGCACUGAUGAUUUUUCUUUCUCUCCCCCCACUGCCCCUGAUCUUUUAUUUAUUAAAUUGCUCUGGGUGCACCUUUCAAAUGA